rnacentral:rRNA from 1 species
UACAGAGGGUGCGAGCGUCAAUCGGAAUUACUGGGCGUAAAGCGCGCGUAGGCGGCUAUGCAAGUCGAGUGUGAAAUCCCCGGGCUCAACCUGGGAACUGCAUUCGAGACUGCAUUGCUUGAGUAUGGGAGAGGGAGGCGGAAUUUCAGGUGUAGCGGUGAAAUGCGUAGAUAUCUGAAGGAACAUCAGUGGCGAAAGCGGCCUCCUGGACCAAUACUGACGCUCAUGUGCGAAAGCGUAGGGAGCGAACAGG